AUAGCGUAUAUUAAAGUUGUUGCAGUUAAAAAGCUCGUAGUUGAAUUUCAGGCCUGGCCGGGCGGUCAGCUUAACGGCGUGCACUGUCUGACUGGGCCUUACCUCUUGGUGAGCCGGCAUGCCCUUCACUGGGUGUGUUGGGGAACCAGGACUUUUACCUUGAGAAAAUUAGAGUGUUCAAAGCAGGCUUAUGCUCGAAUACAUUAGCAUGGAAUAAUAAAAUAGGACGUGCGGUUCUAUUUUGUUGGUUUCUAGAGUCGCCGUAAUGAUUAAUAGGGAUAGUUGGGGGCAUUAGUAUUCAGUUGCUAGAGGUGAAAUUCUUGGAUUUACUGAAGACUAACUAUUG
rnacentral:rRNA from 1 species